rnacentral:lncRNA from 1 species
ACUGUAGAGAUGAUGAUUAAUUACUGUAGAGAUGAUGAUUGAUGAUGGCUACUCUGUUAUUCUUCUUGAGCACAGUACAUAUUUUUAAUUUCCUGAUUACUGUGGUAAAACUAUCAAGGAUACAAACCCGCACACUAAUCUCUCUUCUGAAGCAUAUAGUUAAACUAGUUUCCCAAGGGUAUAAACAGCGGUGAUGAAGAUAACUCACAACCAAACACUGGCAAAUUUCAAAAAAUUUGUUUACACAUAUUUCCUCAGUGUAGCUGAAACUCAUAUAGAAUAUGUAUAAACUUGAGAGUGUACAUUUUUGUCUCACAAAUUACAUAUAGUUUAGUAACGUUUGCAUAGUUAAUCAAGGUUCUCUAGUUGCUCUAUCCGACUUAGUCUAAAGAUGCAUACGUCUGUCAAACAAUCCACGUCCAAAGUUAGCUUCUUUGAAACUUAAAACAAAGAGAUCAAAUGCAGAAUGUAGAGUCAAGAUUUUAAGAGAUGUUGAAGCCGGUUCAAGUUGAUCGAAUGACGAGAUGACCGGUUUAGUGACUUGGAGAAUACGAGAUCAUGAUCUAAACGGUUAUGGAAGAUGGAGAAAGAUAUGGAAAGAAAAAUUUCUGAGAAUCUUCACACGCCAUGGUAUAUAAGGAGAGUGGGGACCUAAGAAAGGGGUUGCGCUUUCUGAGAAAAGAUUUCAAAGCAUUGGGGUUUUUUAGUGGGUGAACGACAACCAGAGAACUGUAAGGGUAGCAACUAGGGUUGGGGUUCUCACGUUUUGGAUAGUUAAGAAUUGGUCAAUCAUGAUACACAGUUGUGUGUAAUCACAAAAAUCUGAUUAAACAAGACUGUUGAGUUUGUUUAAAAGAUUCUUAAUAAAAGUAUUGUUGAGGAAGACUUCUUAUAUCGUCUCUGUUCUAGGUAUUUCAAUUGGUAUCAGAGCACGGUCGACCUCUUCGGUAUUAAGCAUCGUCUACAUGUUGAGAUCUUGGGAAAGAGCAUGGAUCAUAUGAAGGAGCUAAUUGCUAUGCAAAAAACAAUCAUUCUGGAUGGAUCAAAUUUUGGUAACUGGAAAGGUACGAUAAGGCAUGCCAUUCGCAGCGUUGAUGAAGAAGCGUGGGCUGCUGUUAUGAAUGGUUGGUCUGAACCUACCAUGUACGAUGAGAAUAGAAAGGAGGUGCCUAAGCCUUUGGAUCAAUAGACGACUGAAGACAAGAAUUCAUCAAAAUUCAACUCGAAGGCUAUAUCCACUAUUUUCUCGGCUGUAGAUAUUGACCAGUUCAAGAUAAUUCAAGGGUGUGAAUCCGCGAAGGCACCUUGGGACACACUGGUUAACUACUUUUAAGGAGAUAUGAGUGUCAAGAGAUAUCGUCUUGGUCAUCUCGAGACUAAGUGGGAGAAUCUGAUGGAAGUGAAACUCAGGGGAGCUUCACAAAUAAGUUGAAUACAAUUUCAAAUGAAGCAGCUGUGCUUGGUAAAAAAUACUCAGAGAAGAAGCUUUUCAAGAAAAUAAUCAGAUGUCUUUCUAAAUGAUUCGAAGCAUAUAAGACUGUCACCAAAGCUACCAUGAAUUCAGAUGAUACCAAGUUUGACAAGCUGGUAGGACUUCUUAUGUCGUUUGAGCUGGAACGAACUGAAGAUCAAUCACCACCAGUGAAAGGUAUUGCCUAUAUGGCUAAUUCCGAGGAUGAGAGAGGUAAUAAAUUGGAAGCCGAUGUGAGCUUGAUGGCUAAAAGUUUCAACAAUAUUGUGAAAAGACUUGACAAAGGAGUUUCAAGGAGUCUUGGUCGUCUCAACAAAGGCGGAAUCAGCGAAACUCAAGAACGUACGAAGAACUAAAAGAUUAGAAGAAGGAUGUACACAUUCAAUGUGAAUGUAUUUUUUUUAAAGAAAAGAAAUGAAGUGUUCAGAAUGCAAAGGCGUGGGACAUCUUAAGACAGAAUGUCCGAAUCUGCAGAAGAAUGGAGAUAAGUCUCUUUUGUACUUAAGUGACACUGAGUCAGAGGAUGAAGAUGACAACAAGGAUAAUCUACUGAACUUUGUAGCACUGGUGGGAGCAGAAUAAAUCGUUGUCUAACUCUUGAGUCUUCGGAUGAAGAUGGAGAGGAGAUUGAUGUCAAAAAGGAAUACCGCGAGUUGUAUGACCAAUGCAUGAAACUGAGUCAAUAGAACAUUCAGCUGAUAAAGGACACAGCCAUGCUAAAGGCUCAAGUCAACAUUUUGACCAUUGACUUGAGUAACCCGGAGGAUAAAGAAAGCAAGGCUCAUGAAUCCUGAAAUGUUUUGAAAAACAUGAAGGAUAUAUAGCAGAAGCUCGUUGAAGAAAAACAGAAAAAUCUCGCUCUGGAAGAUCGUGUAGCGAAAAUAAGCAUUCACAGAGGAACAUGCCAAAUCUCGAUGUUUGGAACAUGAUUUGACCAAAACCACAAAAAGAUUCGGAUGCUGAGCAGAGGAACCAAGGAUCUCUACCAGCUCUUGACUAUAGGACAACUUCCAAAAAUCAACAGGGAUUGGGUACAAUGGAAAAGAGUCUGCUACAACUGUGUUUGUGCGUGAAAAGGAACCACUACAAGAGCGAGUAACCAUAACCGAAAAAAAGGAAUGCUCUAGGCCGAGAGAGCCAAAAGAAAAUAUGUCAUGACGGGACACGUGCAUGCAACAGUGACUGAUAAAAGGACAGAAACCAAAGAUAAGAAUCCAGAGAAACUGCUGUCUCCACCAACCAUCAAACGUAGAGGUUGUUUUGCUUGUGCAAAAAUGGGACACAAAAAGGCAUUUUGCUAUAGAUUUCUUCAGAAGAUUCACUAAGUGUGCAAAGCUGGCAAAUGCUAUAUCGAAAGAAAAUGGUUCGAAAGAGUCUGGAUAGCCAAGACAGACUUGUACCCCAGAGAUGCACUUGCUGCGAAUGAGCAAAAUGUGGCGGGAGCUUGGUACUUUGACAGUGGAUGCUCUAGACACAUGACUAGAGAUGAGGGCAUAAUGAUAAAUGUGGUUCAUAUUUCUUGAAAAAGGGUCAUGUUUGGCGAUGGCAAGAAGGGGAAAAUCCAAGUGAUUGGAUCAAUUAACCACCCAUCGCAGCCAUCUCUCGUAAAUGUCUAUUUGGUAGAAGGACUAAAGUAUAAUCUGAUCAGCAUAAGUCAGCUGUGUGAUAAAAGACUAACAGUGAUGUUCACCAAAACCGAAUGCAGACCCAUAGAUGAGGAAGGAAGGGUGAGACUCUCAGGAAUUCGAACUGGAAGUAACUGUUACAUGUGGAGAGCGCCAGGGGUAGUUGAACUUGUCAUAUCAUAAACUGAUGAUCAGAACAGUUCUCAGUGGAAAGCCUCUAUGGAUAUGAGGUGAUGAAACUGUCCAAGUCGAUAGUGUGGAAGCCGCAAUCAUAUCUGAGAUGUCUGCAGUGCUGUGAUGAUUUAAUGCACGAAGAAGGUCGUUCUAGGGUCACACCGCGGGCGGUCAUUCUAAACGCAAGUGUUGGAAACUUUCCGUAUCAGUGAAAACAUGAGUAUCAGUUAAGUGUCACAGGAGAACUGAUGUACAUUCUUGGAGCCCAACAAAAGUGCUUAGAUCAUGAGUUAAAGGCCAUGAGUUUAACCAAACGGUUCGACAACGAAUCAAGCAAAGAUGAUAAGCCUGAGGAACAACAUCAACGCAGUAGUUCAGUGCAACAAAGCAUUGAUGAUAAGCCUUGUCUAUAUUACAGAAGGUCAAUCAGAGCUUUGUGUUGAUUUGAGUCCGUGUGAAGAUGUACAACUGUUGUCUAAUCCGUACUACCUUCAUGGAGUAAAGCGAGUGAUUGAGUACAUUCAGGGACAACUUGUAUGUAACUUUUAUGAGCUUACAUGCAAGAAUGUGUGUUUUGCAGUGCUGCGUGACGGAUGUUGGUCCAAGCUGCAAGAGCUGUACAUCAAUGAUAGCCAAGAUACUUCUCUGAUAACACUACAUGAGCAUUUUGCUCUUGGAAAGGUGUGUUCAACUCCUCUGGAUGAGACACCUGAUCAACUGUUAUGGUAAAAUUGCUAACUUUGAAUGGUUUGCAUGUUAUAAUUCAAAAUGUGAUCACUUUGUGUGUAAAAGAAGAGCAUAUGUUAGGGAUAGGUAUAUUGAUGUUAGACACCAUUUUAUGUUCAAUCUGUUGGAAGAGAAACUAGCCAUUCUCAGACAUAAGACCUCAGAAAAUCAGUAGUCGGAUAUGUUCAAGAAACCCUUGGAUCUCAACAGUCUCUUGUAUUCACGAGAUGCUCUUGGGAUUCGCUAUCUUUAAACAAUAAAUUGUAACCAAGAUGAUUUUCCACUAUAAAUGGUAAACCUCUUUAGUCUAAUAAGUGCUUGCAACCCUAGUGAAGAGUAUCAACCUAUUUCAGGAAGCUUAAUUGAAAAUAACUAAAAUUCAGUCUCAUGAAGAUAAAUACUCAUGUCGGAUCACGCUGAUACAAAAGUUUGUGUCUGAGUUCGAUCACUGUUUGGACUGAGUUGAGCCAAAACUUACGAAGAAAAAUUCACUUUUCUUUGUAAUACCUAAUAAGAGCUAAAGACUCAGUUUAAAAUGGUCAAAGUCAUAGAUUGUUAUGAAGAGGCCUGUUGAAAUCUUAGUGCAAACAAAUAAAAAAAAAGGAAAGGCACUGUCGGUAUAUAUGCAUCUCGGCUGAAAAAAGCAGUGCCCAAGAAAGAUUGUAACAAAUCGUGUGUUUAAACAGCUUUAAGACAACAUGAUAACUCUUUCGAUGACAUGAAUAUUUCGUUAACAAGGGUACUGAUAGUGGUUUAAAUGAAUCCUGAGGGAAANNNNNNNNNNNNNNNNNNNNNNNNNNNNNNNNNNNNNNNNNNNNNNNNNNNNNNNNNNNNNNNNNNNNNNNNNNNNNNNNNNNNNNNNNNNNNNNNNNNNNNNNNNNNNNNNNNNNNNNNNNNNNNNNNNUUAAAUGAAUCCUGAGGAAAAGAGGUACCGCAUUGGAUAGAUAAGAUUGCAUCUCGGCUGAGAAAGACAGUAUCUCUAGGUUGCAAAUGCUCUUAAUUGACUAUGAGGUGGUAAGAGUUAACAGUUUAGGGAAAAAUGAUUCAAGAAUGUGGUUACUGUAUCUUGUAGAGUGGUUUGAAGUUAAAAGCUGAAUGAGGAAUUAUGUCUGAUUUGUUCCACUUUAUGUGAAGUACGACUAAGAAAUUGGGAGUAUUAACUCAGUGUGGGGAAAUAAUGGUGAACAUUGGUGUCAUAGCUGAACAUAAGGUGUUAAAAGCUCUUUGAACACAUGUGCAAAAAAAAAUGAUUAGUUUUGUGUAUCUGUUUCUUAAGUGGAAAAUAUGUGGGCUCCAUUUUCAUGUCUUACUAACCAUGUUUUAAAGAUAUGUGGUUUAGGAACAUGUAUCUCAUCUAAAGACAAGUCUCAUGGCUCCAGAUCGUUCGUAUCUGAUGAUGCGCACAGAAGAUACUGAAGUCUCUGUCUCAGAGGAUUCCGUCGUCAAAUGGUUAUUCCCGUACAUGUUCAUGCGUUCACGUCAGCUUUGAAUCUCAUCGAUAAUGUUAGUUGGAGAGCUACAGUGACGGACGUUUCUGCAUUCUCUCCCAUCUUGGUUAGAGAGUUCCUUGCAAAUCUCAGUGAAGCGAACUCUACAGUUCGAAUUCGGAAUGAAGUCUUUCAGAUUACUUCAACUGUGGUAAAUCAGACUUUCGACAUACCAGAUGGUGGGGAUUCCGAGGAAUGGAAGCUAGCAUAUCUGGAUCACUCUGAUUCAAUCCUCCCUGGUGGACUUCGCAAUCAAUGGAAUGAUUUCUCUGUCGAAGAUAUUUGACCAGUGUAUCGACAUGUUUACGAAGUCUACAGUACCAACUGGAUUUCGGGAGACGACAAGGAUGGUAUUGUUGAACAGCGCAUCAGAUUUCUGAGUUCUAUUGUAAGGCCCCGACCCGGCUACCUAAGCCACGGUCGAUACCUCACGCCGCUCGGUCCAUACACUGACCGAGCCUCUCAAAAUUUCGCCCUUUAUCUAUAUUAUCGCCCAUAGGCGAGGGCUAACUUAGAUCUUAUCUUAAGACUAUCUUAGUCAUUCCCUAGCUUAGAUCAUUGCAACUUAUGAUUGAUCAAAGGAUGCUCUUACAACCGGUGCAUCCUUUGAUCAAUCAGAUCAGACACCUUGAUCCAUCACCUAUGGAUCAGGUCGUCCAUCCUUGCCCAGGACCAGAUAACACACGGCCUUCCUUGGAUAAACACACUCGGCCCCAUACUUGUGGUCCAUGCCACUUAGUACUGGCCUUACUCACCUCCACGGCUUGCUGUUGGUUCCAAACGAAUUGGACUUUGCACUCUACAUGGUUCCUCAUAUACUAGGACCCCCAUGUGUCUCCUCCAUGAGUCGGAUCAUUGAUUCACACCAUGAUCAGAACUAACACACACACCAUGAUCCACCAUGGAUCACUAUCCAAUGAGUGGCCUCUAACUUCCAUCUCACAUGGAUGAUUUAGAUCAACUAAGAUCCGCCCUUCUCUCUGGGUCCUAGAUCCUUAGUUUACAUCAACACAUAUGGUCUUCAAGGGGCGUGUCAUACUUGGCCUUAACCGCACCACAAGAGAGAGAAAUACAAACUAGAAAGUAUUUAUAAAAUCGGUUACCUUAUAUACAUGAUCUGAUUCAUGUGCCUUUUCUUAUUAUGUUCGUCCAUGCUCCUCCAGUGCACACCUCUAUAAAUCUUUAUCAUAUACUUCCAGUUUUGAUAAGAUUUCUCCAUGGGUCGCACCAAUGUUCCCAUCCAUAGAACUCCCAUGAAACCAGUUUCUACACUGCAUCCGCCUUCAAGGUUGUCUUAGCCUCUAAGAGUGGAGUCUGGCCUUCUCCCUUCUCUCCUGGUUAUCUGCGUAUGUUCCCAAGACACAGAGGAAGCCUAGGACAUGUUCAUCCAUGAUCAAAAACCACCCAAGGGUCGUGCAUCACUUCCCUCUUUGUUGCCCAUGGAACUGCUUUUCCACACACAUCUGCCUUCAAGGCUGUCUCAGCCAUUGGAAGUGGGAUCCGUCCUCCUAUCUUCUUCCCUGACCAUUUGCGUGUGUUCUCAGGCCCUGGAGGAUGAUUUGGGUGUUAAUAACAUGAAUCAAAACCUAUCAAAGGGUCGUUCAUAACUUCCUCUUUGAUCCCUCCCAAAACUACCUCUUUAUGGCCUUCAAACCAGUCAGGGAUUGAAUGUUGAAUCUGACCAACUCUCUGUGUUUUCUCUGAUUUUCUUUGUGUUUCAGAGUGUAGGAAGAAUCCCUAGCGUGCCUGCAAAAGCACGGACUUGUCUUCCUUAUAUAGGAGAAGGGAUGGUUACUUCUUAACCAUUGCAUCCCUUCGGUAUCAUCUCUGGCCAUUGAUUUAAUCAAUGGUCCAGAUCACACUCUCUCGUCUCUGGCAGUUACCAGACGUCCUAGAACUGUCAAACCACUCCUGGACAUGUCCAAAGAAAACCCACACGGAUUGCCCAUGCUCCUGGCUCAAUCCCAAGAGCCAACCAGCCCAUCGGCACACAUGGGUCGCCCACAUGGCCCGGCCACUGUCCAGACCUGGCCCAACUGCCCAAGACUUGAACACUCAGUCCAGCUGAGUUGAGCUGAUCCCCAGCUGACCCAGAUGAGUGAGCUAGACCAUCCAGCUCAGAGAGCUGACCUACACUUCAGUGAGCUACACUGAGCUGCACUAUGCUCCUGGCUCAAUCCCAAGAGCCAACCAGCCCAUCGGCACACAUGGGUCGCCCACAUGGCCCGGCCACUGUCCAGACCUGGCCCAACUGCCCAAGACUUGAACACUCAGUCCAGCUGAGUUGAGCUGAUCCCCAGCUGACCCAGAUGAGUGAGCUAGACCAUCCAGCUCAGAGAGCUGACCUACACUUCAGUGAGCUACACUGAGCUGCACUACAAUUCACCUAGCUGGUCGAGCUUGCUUACCGCAUCGCCCAGCUGUUAUACACUGCGUCCAGCUUGCUUUCUUUAUCUUCUUCAAUACUUAUAAGUCCCUUGGUCUAUUUACAGACCUAGACUUAGGAUGCUGACUUACACUUGGUGAGUUACCUCCGAGCUUCACUAUUGCAUCGUCCAGCUACCGUAACACUCGACCAACUCCUUUGAGCUUGUCUCCAACCUGUUUUGGUUAAGUCUCAGCUGUCUGAUUCCCUUUACCACAUUUUUUGGAUCAUGACACGCUUGUCUUUAGGUCAUAUGACCUGACUGGUGUGUUUCCUCGCACCAUGACUCAUCCCGGACGAUCCUAUCCAGGAUCGGGGAUGCUACAUCUAUGAUUAUGAGGAAGCGAAUCAACUUUAGUGAACUACUGUUGUCUCAGAUUUAUCGCAUCUAUAGCGAUCCAACAGAGGAUUAUGAUGUCUACUUUCCAAACUUUAUUCAUCAAAUUCUGAAGUGUCAAGAGGAAGUUAGUCACAUGCUUGAUGAUGAUCAGAUUAUGGAGCCUCUGUGCAUCAACGAGGACACAUUGGACGAACAUGUUUUUAUUUGACGAGUCUCACAUUCAGGGGGAGAAGUCGUAGCCAUACAUGCGUUCAUCUGUGUUUGGGAAUUUUGUAUUGUAUUUGCUGUUUCUUGGUUGCUUUGUUUUGAUCUAAACUAUGCUUGUGUUUUAUAGCUUCUUGAACUUGUUAUGAAUUUGGUGUGAUAAUGGUCAAACUGAAGGUUGAUGAGCAUUUGAGAUUGUGUGCUUUGACUAAUGUGAUUGCACCUGGUGACAUGAACGUUGUGUAAGUUUGUUUAUGCAUGUUUGGGAAUGAGGUGACUCGUGCAGAUAAAAAGGGAGAGAUUCUAGAGUCAAAAUUUUAAGAAAUGUUGAAGUCAGUUCAAGAUCGUCCCGGUUCAAGUUGCUCGAAUGACGAGAUGACCGGUUUAGUGACUUGGAGGAUACGAAACAUUUAUGGAAGAUGGAGAAAGAUAUGGAAAGAAGAUUUUCGAAGAAUCUUCACACGCGGUGGUAUAUAAGGAGACUGAAGACCUAAGAAAGGGGUUGCGUUUUUUUAGAGAAGAUAUCAAGGCAUUAGAGUUUUCUAGUGAAAAAGCGACAACGAGAGAACUAUAAGGGUAGCAACUAGGGUUGGGAUUCUCACGUUUUGGGUAGUUAAGAAUUGAUCAGUUAUGAUGAACGAUUGUGUGUAGUCACAAAAAUCUGAUUAAACAAGACCGUUGAGUUUGUUUAAACGAUUCUUAAUAAAAAUAUUGUUUGAGGAAAGCUUUUUAUAUCGUCUCUGUUCUAGGUAUUUGACAGAAGUCUCCUUUUGAUUAGUGGUCGGUUGCCACAUUUCUCCAGCUAGAAUUGUUGGAUCCACAUUUUCUAUUUAUAUGUUGACCACUGACUUCUAUAUACAUUUAAUUGGUCCGUGUUUUGUUCGGCAUAUAGUUUGUUAGCCACACAAAGUGAAGACUUCCACAAUUGAAGAGUCAAGCAACGUAACUUUAACUCUUGUCAUCGUUAUACUUUAUAGUUUAUACUCUCUAUAUAUAUUAUUAUUAUGUUGUUUUGGCUGAAAAACCAAUUCAUACGAACCAAGUUUCUUCUUCAAUAUCUUUGUUUUGUUUCGAAGUCUUUAUUUUCCUAAUGGCAAAACCGUGUUUCCCUGUUUCUACCAUCUCCAGUUUUUUAUGUUGUCUCUUUGUCUCCAGCUUCUUUGUCAACAGUCUUGUUUCUCUUCCAUUUCCUCAUCCAGACCAGAUUGAGAUCCUUCUGGCUUUUAAGAACGAGUUUCCAAUCCUCAAAUGCGACAUCAGAAAGUGGUCUGAAUCAAGACAAAAGACAAAAUCUUGGACCAGCAAAGUCAAUAAGUCCUUUGAUGGAGUUUGGUUUGAUAGCGAGACUGGUCUAGUAACGGAACUAGACCUAAGUGGUGCGUGCCUCAGUGGCAGUCUCAGUGCUAAUAGUAGCCUUUUCAGACUCCACCACCUCAGGUACCUUGAUCUCUCUAACAACUACUUUGACUCCUUCUCCUUCCUCCCCGAACUUGCCAAACUCACAAACUUAGAGAUCUUGGAUCUUUCUCAUAUGGGCUUAGCCGGUGAAAUUCCAACCUCAGUCAGUAGCUUAAACCGUCUAAGGGACUUGGACCUUUCCGGUAACGAGCUUAUCGGCAGUUUUUCCCCUCUAAUCAAUCUAUCAAGGCUCUCUUAUUUAUCUCUUUCCAAUAAUCACUUUUCUGGAAAUGUUCCUUGUUCUCUACUCACCAUUCCUUCCCUGUCAAUUCUUUAUUUGAGCCAAAACCAUCUCAUCGGCACUCUUGAAACUAUGAAUUGCUAUUCAACGUCCAUGCUUGAAUCGUUAUAUCUUAGCAAUAACCGUCUCAGUAGUGGAAGCCUAGAGCCUCUCUCCAAAUUUUUCUACCUCAAAGACCUCGACCUAUCUUUUCAGAACACAACCGACCCAGUCAACUUCGUCUCGUUGGGCUUCAAGUCUUUAGAGUCAUUGGAUCUUUCCGGAAAUGCUAUAUCAAGGCUUAAUAUCAGAUCACCAAAUUUGAAGGAACUAGCCUUGAAUGAAUGCAGCAUCAACGAGUUCCCCACAUUUAUUAAAAACCUACCGAAGCUGAAAACUUUGCGCAUUGCAAACAAUAGUCUCAAAGGAGAAGUGCCAAAAUGGUUAUGGAGUAUGCCUUCUUUGAUUCAAUUGUCUCUGUCUCACAACUCCCUCGAUAGUUUUGAAGGCUCGCCAAAAGUGGUUCUCAAUUCGUCGCUUUACUGGUUAGACCUGAGUUCAAACGCUUUUCGAGGAUCUCUUCCUAUUGUUUCACCGACAUUGAACUACAUGUUUGCAUCAAAUAAUAGUUUCUCAGGGGACAUACCUCUUUCAUUGUGCAAUCAAAACAACAAUCUUGUCCUGGAUCUAUCGCAAAACCAUUUCAGUGGUUCUAUUCCCGGAUGCUUGUUUACAUCAUUAGUAUAUCUGAAUCUCCGAAACAACAAUCUCACUGGGAAUCUUCCCAACAUAUUCGAUAAGAGUAGUUAUCUGAUAACACUUGACGUUAGCCACAAUCAAAUAACUGGGAAGCUUCCAAGGUCUCUUACAAAUUGCACAAACCUAGAGUUUGUAAAUGUGGGGAGCAAUAGAAUCGCUGACAGCUUUCCGUUUUGGCUGAAGGAUCUACCGAACCUACAAGUCAUUGUCUUACAAUCAAAUAUGUUCCAUGGUCCAAUCUAUUCCCCUCAACAUCCUCUAUCAUUUCCACAACUGAGAAUAAUGGACAUAUCAGGUAAUAAAUUCACCGGAAGCCUACCACAUGAUUACUUUAUCAAUUGGAGUAAACUCUUGAUCAGUAUUCCCCAGGAGAAAAGAGAGUACGUGGGAUAUGAUUCUAUGUAUGAUUAUUACCCUUCCAUGUAUUUGAGAAGCAAAGGAAUAAACAUGGAGCUGGAAAAGAUCCUUGUGACCUACACAGCCAUUGAUUUCUCUGAAAACAAACUUGUAGGACAGAUUCCAGAAUCUUUAGGCCUUUUGAAAUCUCUUAUUGUGCUCAACCUAUCCAACAAUCAUUUUACAGGUCACGUUCCAUCCUCUUGGGCUAAACUCACGAGGCUCGAGUCACUAGACCUAUCUCGGAACCAACUUUCUGGAAAAAUACCGCAGGAGCUAGCAACCCUCUCGUUUUUGGAGUACAUUGAUGUUUCACAUAACAAACUCACGGGACAGAUACCACAGUCUACACAGAUUGGAGGACAGCCUAAAUCAUCUUUUGAAGGGAAUAUCAAUCUUUGUGGUCUUCCUCUUGAGCAGAGUUGCUUCAGUGACAAGGUACCAUCAACACCAGAGGCACAAGGGCCAUGGCCUCAAAAGCAAGAACAAGUGUUAAAUGGACAGCCACAGACGUCCUGUGUGUGCUGAAGGACACACACGUACACACAUUCAAAUUGCACAAACCUAGAGUUUGUAAAUGUGGGGAGCAAUAGAAUCGCUGACAGCUUUCCGUUUUGGCUGAAGGAUCUACCGAACCUACAAGUCAUUGUCUUACAAUCAAAUAUGUUCCAUGGUCCAAUCUAUUCCCCUCAACAUCCUCUAUCAUUUCCACAACUGAGAAUAAUGGACAUAUCAGGUAAUAAAUUCACCGGAAGCCUACCACAUGAUUACUUUAUCAAUUGGAGUAAACUCUUGAUCAGUAUUCCCCAGGAGAAAAGAGAGUACGUGGGAUAUGAUUCUAUGUAUGAUUAUUACCCUUCCAUGUAUUUGAGAAGCAAAGGAAUAAACAUGGAGCUGGAAAAGAUCCUUGUGACCUACACAGCCAUUGAUUUCUCUGAAAACAAACUUGUAGGACAGAUUCCAGAAUCUUUAGGCCUUUUGAAAUCUCUUAUUGUGCUCAACCUAUCCAACAAUCAUUUUACAGGUCACGUUCCAUCCUCUUGGGCUAAACUCACGAGGCUCGAGUCACUAGACCUAUCUCGGAACCAACUUUCUGGAAAAAUACCGCAGGAGCUAGCAACCCUCUCGUUUUUGGAGUACAUUGAUGUUUCACAUAACAAACUCACGGGACAGAUACCACAGUCUACACAGAUUGGAGGACAGCCUAAAUCAUCUUUUGAAGGGAAUAUCAAUCUUUGUGGUCUUCCUCUUGAGCAGAGUUGCUUCAGUGACAAGGUACCAUCAACACCAGAGGCACAAGGGCCAUGGCCUCAAAAGCAAGAACAAGUGUUAAACUGGAAAGCAGCGGCAAUGGGAUAUGGCCCUGGAGUCUUGUUUGGACUAGCGAUUGGACAAGUCUUUUAUUCGUACAAACCAGUGUUGUUCUUCAAGUUGUUUCGUCUUUGAAAUAAAUUUUGUGCAUUUGGUGUUGUUGUAAUAAGUGUAAGGGUUCUUGCUACCGUUAUGACAUAGAUAUGCAUGUGUGUGUGUGUGUGUGAUAUCGAUAAGUUAUUAUGUCAUGAAAUAAAGUUAAAGCAAAAAUUGGUGCUCAAAUUUCGUAUCACUAACAUAAAAAAACAGAGGAGGUCUACUCUGUUCUUCUUCAAAGACUGUUUAUUUUAUUUGCCUGAGUACCUGAUAGACGCGUUGUUUGGCACCCGGCGUUCUGACACACAGCUUCACGGUGGAGAAAAAGGGUCGAUCACGGGAAGAGAUUGAACUGUCUUUAAAUUCCAAAAUGACAACUUGAGUUAAGAGUCGGAAUGAAACAGGAAAACCAGUGAAGAUAAAUCCUGAUCUAGAAGAUGAUUACAAAUGAAGAAAAAAUAUUUGAUUAUGAUGGAUGAUGGAAGGUUGAUGAUGAAUGAUGAAUGAUGAUGAUGACGACAGAGAGAAAAUAUUAAAGAGGAAUUAGGUUUAGUUUUUUUUUAUUGAAUAUUCUCAAAUGGCUAAUCCCUGACAUAUGUCGUGAGAAAAAGAUAACUAAACCAUUCGGAGUUGCUCGCAUAUUCUUCCACCAUCGUCAACCUGGUCAUAGACAUUCGUAUUCUACUUCAUAUGGAAUCUCUAGCUUUCCUUCUGCGGGUUUACUGUAACAUCCAUCUCCUCCUCCCUCGAGAACGGGUAUUACUUGCCCAAAAACACUAAAUUUAACCGAUUUACUAAAAAGCAAAUAAAACAUUGAAACGUCAAUUUAAAUAAAUUCAAUUGAAAUACAUUUUUAAAAUGAAUUAUAAAAAUAUUACAAUAAAUCAAACGAAAAAACGAAAUAAAAUACAAUGACCCAGAAGCACUAAACCGUCCGGAGAUUCAACUAUUCGUCAUAUUUACUUCCAAGAGAAAGAAAAAGGGGUGAGUAAUAGAGGAGUCACUCAGUGAGGUAUGAGAUGCUAAACAGCAGACUACUGACUCAGUACAUAGCACUAUGAUUAUGUAGGCUAGUUCAAGCAUGAAACAAAUGCGGUGCUUAGUACACCUCAAAGAACAAACAUAUGCCUAAUGUACAAUACAAACAAUGCGAUGAUAGUAUAAGCUACUCUAUGCACCAUGCAUUUCCUCAUAAGGAUAUAUGAAUAUCUCCAGACAUACAUAGUCCAUUUCUACACUCCCAUAAUUUGCACGUUGGCGACUGAUACUGUUGCAGGCUGGGAUUCAGGGUUGGCAAGAUGGAUGAUGGAAGCUUGAUGGAUCGACCAAAAAUAUGAUCGGAUGGGCGAUAUGAUGGAAUGCAAGUUAUGAUCCUGAAAACAAAUGCAAAAACAAAUGAGAUAUGAUUUCUAAUAUGAUAAAACAAGAUAAAUAAAGAUAGAUACGAUGGAAUUAGGCUGCUGGUCGUGUGACACUCUCAGACAAAUCAGUUGAUGAUUGAAGUGGAUUGAGAUGGUGCUUUGCUUGCUGGAUGUGUAUCACUCUCAAGCUUGGCAAACGAAUUGGAAUGGAAGGAUGGGGGAAUAAGGCAGUUUGGUGAUAAUGGGGAUCUUCUUAUUCCUAUGUGGGCUGGUGCAUGGGAUGAAGUUGUAGAACUCUUCUGGCUCAUGUAUAAUGUCUCCUGGAUGUCUUUGUUUUGUCUGGACGUCGUCUGGUUCUCCUGGUUGGAUUGGAAUUGCUUGGAAUGGAUCAAACCGAAAGAUUGUCCAAUCUUUCCAUAAAUAGCUCCGGUUGGGUUUAAGUGAUUCUCCAUUGAACCAACUGAUCUCCUGGGUUCUGGUGCAGCUAAGGACUUCUGGAAUACCUCCUGAUUGGUUAAGAUGAUCUCCUGGUUCCCAUAAAUAGCUCUGGGUCGAACCAAGUUGAAUUGGUUGAAGACUUUCCAUAGAUGACGUCGGUUUGGCCGGUUCUGGGGAAUUGAUCAUAACUCCUAAUUUUCGUGGCCAUUUCUCCUGAUCUUGGGCUUUAUGGAAAGAUGAUAAACUCCUAUUGACUUCUGUGAUGGGUUUUGCUUCAGGCCGCUCCUUCAUUGAGCUUGAAUCUUCUUCUAAAGUCGGGUACUCGCAGAUGGACGGGUUGAGAAACCUCUGAAUUGUAAAAUUCAUAACUUCUUUCUCCGUGAUUAUUUUGGCACAAUUCCAAUUGGCCUGGACUCCUUAUUGAGUGUAGAAUCCAUCAAAAUUAGACUCGUGAUUUAAACCCGCUUGGUUUGUAAGAUAUGGCAUUUUUAGUGCACGUAUAUCCUGGUUGGCGCCUUGGCUGGUUGAGUAGGGUGUUGGGUCGACCUCUGGUUCAGCUGCUGAAUUGCUGGCCGCAACAGAUACAAACGUCUUUGUACCCCGCAAUCUCACUGCUCGUCAGCGGCUUACAGAAACGUCUUUGUGCACCCGCAAUCACACUGCUCGUCGGCGGCUUACACAAACGUCUUUGUGCAAGAAAUAAGUGCAAGAACUAAACUUUCAAUCAAAUGGUAAGAGAGGAUCCAUGGGUAAGGAUAAUUGAUAUAAGAUGAUCAAAGUUCAAUUUAGGAUAUUCAAACAAAACAAUCAACAUGUCUAUAGGUCUAGAACAUUAAUAAAGAUCAAUCUUUUCCCAAAGUAGAGAUCCAUAUGCAAUAGUGAGCUAAACAUCAAUUUCCAUUGGUUGAAUUCAUUCAAGAAUGCAUUAUGUUCAAGUAUACUAACCAUCUAGUAAUCUUAACAUCAAAUCUCUGUGGUUAUUCAAGCUAAAUCAAUAUUAAGUUUAGUCAAGCAUUUAACAAACAUCUUCCGAGUAUAAAAUAGCUUAAUAUCAAAAUGAGAUUGAUCAAGUCAAAUCAAGCAUUAAAAACACCUAAAAAAUAUACAACAAUGUUAAUCAAGCAAGAAAAAUCCUAAAUAUUUACCUAAUCACCCUAAUCUAUCUAACCCAUGAAUCACAAGACUCAUCGAUCACCAUGACAAACCUUAAACCUAUAUGAGAUUCAAGGCUAAUCAUGUUAAUGAGCAGCCAUCGUGGAGCUUCGUCGGCACUGGCUCACAACAUCUCUAUCUCCGCGUCGUGGUCGUGCUCAUCGUCGGAAUCAAGCUCGCCGUCGGGAUCAAACCUCGCUGUCGGCUACAGAUCGGCCAAGAGAAAGCUUGUCCUCUCCAAUGGUGGCUUCUUCUUUAUAUUCAAAGCAGCCCCUUGAAGUCUUGUGUAUUCACGAAUUUGCCCCAGCUAUUAAAAUGUGCAGAUUGCUCCUUUCGAUUUAGUCGCAACCAUUUCAAUUGCGCAGAGCAGACCAGCCGAAUAUUCCUAUUUUGCAACAUUGGUCCCUGAACUUUUGAUAACUUUGUUUCUGACCCCAUACUUUCUAAAUUGCAACCAUAACCUCAAGAUGGCUAUUGCGCCCCUUUCGUUCCCGCUUCCCAUCAAGAACCGAAAAGCGUGUAAUGGAGCUUGUUGGCAUGACCACUUUGAGUGAAGCUUCCAAGUAAGGCUAAGAUCAAACGGCUCACUGUCACUGGAUUUGUCAAUAUUGAAGAUAAAAAGAAAGCUGCUGCUUUCUCGGAGAGUCCUGUCUGGCUUCAUGGUCAAUUCGGAUUCUUCAUUCUUCCAGAGUGUGUGAGCUUCUGGAUGCACAAGACCCUCCAUUUGAAGAUAUACAUUAUUUGACUUUGCAAGAACACAUUUUCCGACAACUUUUCUCCCAAAGAGUGAGCUAAGAGACCAACUUGGCUGUAUAUUUUUCUCAACUGUAUCAGGCUGAAGAACAACAGUAAGAGUCUGCUCGAGCAACAUACCAGAACCCAACCCCUCUUCACCAGAGUCAACCACAGAUAAAUGCAAUCUCUGAGAAUGAUAAAACCCUCCAUAAACAGACGGCCUAUUCAUCAACGCAGACAUCCCAUCCUUGUCUCUACACGGAAGCAGCUUCAGCCACGGAGUCAAAUUCUCCAUACAAACAGCUUCACGCGGCAGUGAACCAUACCUCAAAAGUGCACUAGAUGACAAAAAAAAAUGGAUUUGUGUUUUGUGUUCGUUUGGCCUGAAACAUAUGCUAUGGCCAUAUGGGUAACUAAUGUAUACUGACAUCAAAAGUCAAAACGAUGAAGAAGAGAAAACUUAAAGGAAAAGCUAGUAAUGGAAUCUGAUUUAGAGUCGUGCGGAUAAGGUUUUUAAAGUCAAUAUACAUCAGUUAUGAGGGAUCAAUGACACAUUAAUGUGUUUGUAAACAAAGACGUGAGGUUGAAUUCAGAAAAGUUUGACUAAUGUAAGUCCACCUCUUCUCUAGACGACACACCUCUUCUGUUUAGUUAUGUUUAGAAGUGUGAGUUUGGAGUGAGUUCAGUGUUGUGCAUUCACAUUCCAUUUACUUCAGAAUCAGGUCUAAGCUUCUUUGGUUCUCUUACUAACGGAAUAUUUGAGGUUUCUUUCACGAGAUACUUUUUUUUUCAAUUUUGUCUUCACGUUGGGCUUAGUUUACUUCACAGUCUUUUUUUUUGAUCAAAAAAGACUAUGAAAUAAACUAAGCCCAACGUGAAGACAAAAUUGAAAAAAAAAAAAGAAUCUCGUGAAAGAAACCUCAAAUAUUCCGUUAGUAAGAGAACCAAAGAAGCUUAGACCUGAUUCUGAAGUAAAUGGAACGUGAAUGCACAACACUGAACUAUGUGAGCCCCGUCUGUUUAGCUAUUUACAGUCUAAAGGCUUUUUAUUGUUUAGCUAUUAGACCCAUAUGAGCCCCGUCUGUUUGGUACUUGGUAGUACCAUUUCUUCAUUGUAAAUGAUGAAAGUACAAAAUAAGAUAAAAAAUUGAAAAAAAUCAUGUAAUGCAGAGAAGACAUAAAAUAUGUAAUGCAGAUAAGUUUGAUAAAAAAUAUUAUGAUCGCUGUAUGAUGGAAAAUUUGGGCCGAAUCCAUCUUGAUGUAGCUACCCAUUGGGGUUUUCAGUUAAUGAAAGAGGCCGACAAAAAAAAAUGUAAUGCAAUUAUUGGUUUAUUUCAACUCAUUUUGAGAUGACAUUGCAGCAUGGUGUUUAAAAUGCUUGUGUUAUUUAUAUUGUCUAACUUAUGUUAGAUUGUCAUUUUACUAAUAAUUGGUUAUAGUUUGAGAUUUACAUGUUUAGUUUUAGCAUCCAUAUUGAUUUGUCUUUAUUCCUAUGGUUAUGAAUGGAAGGGCAUGACACAAUGCAGUUCUCUUGCACGUGCAGUUCUCCCGCAAUACAUUCAUCAUUCACGUUUUUCUGUUUGCAAAAGCAAUUUUAGCGGGAAAUUUGCAUGCAAUUCGAUAUUUUUGUCUUUUUGUGGAAAAAGCAAUAGAUCUGCAUGCAGAUCUCAUUCGCUAACAUUUGGUGGUGUUGAUAUGCUUUUUUUUUUUCUUUUUGAUAAUAAAUAAUUUUGUUACAAACACUUAACUUUAAAAUAUGUUUAUCUGAUUUUAUAAAUAAUGUACAAUGAUUACCUCAAACUAUAUAGUUUACACUAAUAUUGUUUGUGUUGUUUUAAAAUUAUAAGCAUGACGUUCAAUCGCCGACAAAACAUAACAUUUUCAACGGAAGAAGAUAUAAAUCUUCAUAUAUAAAUAUCAACAAGGGUAAGUAGUUAAUAUUUUUUUUUAUGUUUUAAAAUAAUUAAUAUAUAGGUAAAUGAUUGAAAUUUUGUAAAUCUAUUGAGAGAAGACAAUUUUAAAUGAAAUCUUAACCGAGAACGUGUAUUUAUUGAGUUGUACGAUCAAAUAAUUUUCAUGACUAAUUACCGUUUCAAAUAUCUUACACCCACUGGUAGAGAGUUUUCCGGUGGUAAAUUUAACCAAAAGUUCAAUAUUAGUGUAACCUACUGGUUCUCUCAAGAAAAUCUUGAUCACCUAAAAAUAAAAUAGAAGAAGUAUAAAUAUCUUAUAAAAUAUUUACAGGUAUUUCGGUCAUCUAAGAUAUUUGUUUAGAUAUCUAGGUGUAAUUUUUAUUGUUUCAACAUAUGUUCUAUAGUUUUGAACUGAUUUUGACAUUCAUAAGUUAUAAUAAAUUAUUUGAUCGGUUUGAUAUGUUUCUCUCUUGCAUGAUCUAUUUGAUUUACACUUGUCCUACUUGAUCUGUAUGAUCUGCUUAAUCUGUCCCGUUUGAACUGUUUUUACCAUUCGACCUAUAUAUCGCAAAUGAAUAUAGAAGGAAAAGAGAACAAGGGAUCAUGUCAAAAUAAGUCCACAUCAGAAGUCACUUCACACACGCAAAAGCAUGCCAAUGUCUUGUCAAAUCAUUUUACAUCUAGACAAAAUCUUACAUCCGUAUAUAUACACUGAUAUAAAACACAUAUAUGACCGGUCUUAAAAUUUUAGUGGCUGUAAUAAUAAAUUUUAAUUUUACAAAUUUAAAGAUUUAUGUCUAUGUAAUUUUCAUCAAAAAAAUUGAAGGCUAUAGGACAAUGCUUCACUAGUCCAUGACAAAUACCAGUAUUCUAAAUUCUAAAUACACAAUGUUAUAGUCAGUUCAUUUUAUAGCACGAAGUAUGUUUUUUAUGGGACCGACAAAAUAAUCCGAUAAAACAUAUUAAAAAUUAUAUUUAAGUAUUAGAUAACCUUCGUUAGUUGGGCGGGAAAACAAAAUUAUUUGGGACGCGUUUAGAGAAUAAAUUGAUUAUUAACUACUUCACUCAUAUUCAGAUUGAAAAUAUGAAGUAUAAAUCAUGGUACUAAAAAAAUUGCAUGUGUGGGUACUUAUCUAAUACGUCUUGCAAUGAUAAUCUUUUUUAGUCGUGCAAUGAUAAUCAAAUAUACUUUUAUUGUUUUAGAUAUAAAUCAUUACUCAAAAGAGUCGACUUCAUAUUUUCUUGAAGUAGUUUCAGUUGAAAUAAUUGAAAUCAUUAGAGUAACAGUUUGGUGGGUAGCAGUUCUCUGGAUAAAUUUAAGUUUUGUUCGGUGAAUUGGUGAUAAAACAAUACGGCUAUACAUAUAUAAGUUCUAUCAAUUUCUAAAACAACCGUUUGGUGAUAGAAUUAAAUGAUAGAUCUUCUCUUCAUAAAUGAGGUAUUGACAUAGAAGAGAGAUCCAUGGGGUUUCAAAAAUCUAAGUGUAGACUGUAGACACAUACUAAUGUAUUGAGAGUAAUAUCUAGAUAUAUAGUAAAUUGAAGAAUGCAUGUUCGCAAUAUUGUUUUUGCAUGCAAUUGAUUAGAAUGCUGAGGAGCUUUGGUCGAGAAGUAGGUCCGAUGGCUUGCAGAUAGGGUAAUAACAGCCUUAAGAAAGAAGAAAAUUAUUAUAUAUGACCACCACACUAGAAAUUGUUGAUCCAUGUUUGAACUUUUUAACAGUUAGAAAUAAAUCUUCUUUAAACAAAAAGUAGCUGAGAUUUACUGUUUCACCACCUGUCCUCCUGUUAUUAUUCCGUCUUUCAUGAAAUUACAUUUAUUUUAGAGGUAUUCAGGUGAAUAUAUAUAGAUAAGAAUUUAAUUAUGUAAGUAUGCAAUGAUGUGACUUAAUUAAAUAUAUGAAAAUCAUGAUGGUGAAUUUUUACGAAUUUUUACCUUCUAAGACAUAUUAUGUCAUUAGAAUUGCAUAUUUAGACACUUGUUGCUGGAGGCACACAAUUUCUAUGUGCAAUGUCCUAGAAGCCCUCAACCUUAUCUAACAAUAACUAGAAAGACACUGACUAACAACUCUAACUAAAUCCAAAAGUCUUUUUAUUAAAUCAUUCAAAAAUCUAUUUAUUUUAGAAUUUUGAAAUUCAAGUUCAGAUUCACUUUUAUUGAACUCUAUUUUCUUUUUAUUUAUUUUCAUAACGCAUACCCAAAUCCAAUAAUCACGAUUCACUCUCUUUCAUCAAAUCAAAGAAACCAUUAAUUCUUAAUCCUCUUGGCUUGUCUCCUUCUUCUCAACUUUUUCUUAUUCCUUUGUCUAUCUCCAUUUUUUUUGUCUGUUUUUUAUCCUCUUAUUACGAAUCAUGACAGAAUCCACAGAUAAAAAAGAGAAAGAAAAGACGCCUCAACAUGGAUUUCAAGCUCAACAUCGCGUCGGUGAGCUCGGUGGCUCAGUGAAGCCAUGGUGGUUCGAGCUCGUCGAAAUCCUCCGCCACCACAAGAUCUGCUGCUCAAGUUGACUCCUCGCCUUGCUCAACUCAUUUCCGCGAAGUCUCGUUCAUUAUCUAGGUGAAGCUGCAGUGGUUUGAGCUUGGUAUCGCCAUGGAUGAAACCUCGAUAAGAUCUGCAAUAAGAAUGAUGAAUUUACAUAUUUGGUCCUUCUAUUUAUGUAAGUAUUUGUUUUCACCCUCAAUUUUUAAAUGUGCAGAUUUGUAUUCUAAUUAGUAUCAAAUUUUUCAAGUAUACACCACAGCCAUGUUUUAUGCAAUUAUGUUCUUCAUGAUUACAAUGUCCAUAUAAACAUAUCAUAAUCCAUGUCCACACCUACUAGCUCACAAAUAAUCGAUAAUGGACAUCAUUUAACAUGAUCUCUUUCAGAAACUUUGACGUGGAUACAACUUGUGUAUCAUACAAAUAUGUCUAGGUAUUUUCGUUUACACAUUUAUAUCCAUGUUCACAUAUCUUACGUUCACACUUUUAUCAUCCAUAUCCAUACAUUUUUAUAAGUUAUAUAUAAUAUAUAUAUAUAUAUAUAUAAUUAGAUAAAACAAUAAAAAUAUAUAUCAUUAAAUAAAAAAUAGAAAACAAAACAUAGAAUUUUGUAAAAAAAAAAUAUUGUGUCCACAUCCAUAAAACAUAUGUCAAAUAAAUUAUAAUUUAGCAAUUUAGUUAGACAUUAAAAUAUAAAAUAUAUAUAUAUGGAUAUCAAAAUAAUAAGAAAAAAGAAACAUGUUUUUAUAUGGUUAUUAUAUAUUUAUUUAAUCAGAAACUGAAAUAGUGUAUGAAUCAAUAUGGUUUUGUGUCCAUGUCCACAAUUAAUUUAUAACUAUAUUAUCCACACUAUGGUAUCCAUGUCCAUACUUUUUUUGUAUAUAUAUUAGUAUAUAUAUAUGAAAAUGGAUGUUAAAAGAUAGAAAAUUUUAUACAUAAUUUAAUGUGAUAAUUAUUUUUGUUUUAUAUAUUUUAGAAUUUAAAAUAAAAGUAAAUGAAACAUUAAGAGAAAUAAGAAAAACAAGUUACAAUUUAUACUUACCCAAACAUAAGCGCAUCUUCCGUUUCUUCUGAGCAAGGGCAUUUCUGUCCAAAACAGCUCUCAGAUUCAAGAAAAGUGUCCCUUCAGCGGAUUGUGUUUUAAAGUGUUAAAAAAGAUAAAAAAAGUGUCUUAAAUGGUAAUCGACUCUUAUAUUUUGGACCCUUCAUUGGACUAGCUUCAAAACAACUAUUUUUAGGUUUAUUACACAAUAUCGAUCCAUCCAGAUUCGAUCUUUUUUUUUUUUUAAGUCUUAAACAUUUUGAAAGAUCCAAAAAAGAGUAAAGAACAUAGAUAGUUUGAUGGUGUUCUUCUUCUACAGCAUCCCACUGCCUGAUUCAAUAAUAAAAAAAAAAAGAAAAAGAGAACAAGGAAUCAAAACCGAUAAAUAAAGCAAACAAAGAAUAAAACAUUGUAUACAAACUAUACAUGGAAGAAAACUCUCGGUGAAAGGAUACACCGUUGGGUGGUUCACAAGUCCACCAUGAUUAGUCCUCUUCCACCUUCUAGUAUCUAUAUUAUAACAACACCAUUUCUCCUCAGUCACGCAUAUGAUCUUGUUCUCUAAACAAGUCAUGGCUAAAACUUUUUCCAGCGAACACAUUCUUGAAAAAAGUGAACAGUAUUGUUUUCACAGUUGAAUUAUUUUGACUUUUAUCUUUCAUAUGGUUUUGAAAGCUUUCAAAUCAACCAUCGAAUUGAUACAUGUCAUUUUAAUGUUUUUAGUCGUAUACUUAAGGAAAACUUACAUUUUUGUAAUUUAAAGUCGUUUUAAAAAAAUUCAAAAUAUAGCAUAUAAGAAAAUUCUAACAUAUAAGAAAAAUAUAACAUAUAAGGUGUCCUCAUUUUUGUAUUUUAAAGUCGUUUAAAAAAUAUAUAUAACAUAUAAAGGUUUCCUUAUUUUGUAAUUUAAAGUCAUUUUAAAAAAUUCAAAAUAUAACAUAUAAGAAAAAAUCUAAUUUUUUUAUUAUAUUGUUAAUGUGAUUGUUUAAGUUUUUUUAAUAAUAUAAAUUUAACAAAAAUGAAGAAGGAUGCAAAAAUUGUUAUCAAAUCUUUAUUAUUCAUAAUCAUUAAUUCCCGUAUAUAUGUAAUUCAUAUUAGGUAAUUCCGUAGCCUUUAUUUAAGGAAAGAAUACACACUUCAUAUAUUUUAGGUUAAUAUAAUGUUCUCUAGUGUUAUAUAAUUAUGGAAUAAUGUGACACCAUUAGAUGAAACUAUACUUUAUAUUAGAUGCUCUAGAAUUCUUUGAAAUAGAAUUUAGAAGGCAUUUAGAGUGCCGCCUAGGAUUUGGGAUUUUUUUUUAAUUAAUACAAAAUUAAGAUUCUAAUUUUUCAAAUGCUUCUCAAUUAAUAUAUAGGGGAUAUCAAUCAUUAAAUGAACAUGUAUCUUGCAGAUUUAAUACUAAUCAAUAGACUCUAAUCAUUAAAUUUUAAACCAAAAAUUAAAUCCUAACCCCAAAUAUUAAAAUUUAAAGUUGAUCCUAACUUCACUCUCACUCUCUAAAUACUAAAUCGUGAACUCUAAUCACUAAAUCCUAAACCAUAAAUUAAACCCUAAAUUUAAAAAUAAACCCUAAACUCAAAUAUCAAAAUUUAAUGUUGAUCCUAAUUUCAUUCUACCUUCUAAAUACUGAAUCCUAAAUCCUAAUCACUAAACCCUAAAUCCAAAUAUAAAUCUUAAAUCUAAAUAAAAUAAAUAUCAUAUUACACAUUUGUGAAAUUAUGAAAUAUCUAUGACUUAGCCAAUUUUUAUUGAUUUUCAUUUUAAUAAUGAACGCACAAGUACAACUUGAAGUAAACGAGCGCAUACACCAUUAAAAUAAUAGUCAAAAUAAAUUGUCAAGUCUUAUUUUGUUUAUGAAAAAAUAAAAACUAAUUAAAUUAAUUGCCUAAGCAAGGAAAAAAAAAUUACAUUGAUAACACAGUUAGCAAACCCCUGAACAUUGUUAGCAAAAUCGUAAGCCCUAAGCUGCAAACCCUAAACCCUAAAGGGUGAACCUUAAAUCCUAAACUCUAAUCUAUGAAUUCUCAGGGGUGAUUCAUAGGGUUUAAGAUAUAAAGUUUAAGAUUUACGGUUUAACAAACGGUAUUUAACAACAUUUUUUUCUUUUUUUGACAAUUAAUAUUAUUUUUUCAUAAAUAGAAUAUAACUUAAAUUUUUUUAUUAAUUAUUGUUUUAAUAAUGAGUGGACAUGUUCAUACAUUUAUUCUAAGAAGUGAACAAUUUUAAAAAAAAUUUAUUAAUAGUAUGUGGGAUCUGAUAAAAAUGAAAGUGAAUUUAAAGAAAAAAAAUCAGGAUAAGGAGAAAUGGAGAGAAAGAUGCAUGGAGAGGGAGAGACAAGUGGGAUAGAGAGAUGUGAUGUACAUGACAGCUACGUAGAAUAGUAUUUUUGUAGUAUAGAAAAGUCAUAUUUGGACAAUCUAUCUUAUAAGGUUACUUUUGGGAUAUAAGGAAAAUGAAACAGUACGAAAUCGAUCACCUAAAUAAUCUUAUCGUGUAUAUCAAAUGCAAUUACUCUUUAUUUUAUAUAUCCAUUUCAAUAGUUAAUUAACAAACACUUCUUCUGUUUUUACUUAGCAGCAAAACUGGAAAUUCCAGCUAUUCUUGUCGCUUUCUUUUUACCCAUACAUUUUCCGUAAUAUGAGUAUAUAAUAUAAUGUAAUGUUCUAUAAACCUGGUUAAACGUCUGCAUAGAGUAUAAAUCAAUCAUAUAUUAAAUCAUUUAUCAAAAUUUGAUUUAAGCAAUUCAAAUCAGUUUAAACCAUUUUGAAUCGGUUCAAAUCGGUAUAAAACGAUAUAAAUUAAUCUAAAUUAGCUUAAAUCAAUUUAAAUAAGAAAAUAAUGUUAUUGAAAGUAACAAGUUUGUCUGAGUUUUUUUGUACAUCUAAUAUAUUAUAAUUUAUCAAAAUAAUAUUAUAAUUAAACCUAAAACAAUAUAUGACAUAAAUAUAAUAUAUAGUAAACAAAUAAUAAUUUAUUAACGCAUACAUCCCGUCUAGAUCCGAAUAAUUUUCCUAGCCGGUAGUUCUAUACAAAGCGUAUAAUUAUUGAUUAGCAAAAUUUUGAACAUUGAUAUAAUAUAUUGGAUAUGAAGACUACACAAAUAUUUUUAAAAUUUAUGCAUCUUAUACAUAGGUGAAAAUGGUAGACCACCUUUGCCAAUGAACUGAAGAUAAGACUUGAAAUAUAUCGCACACAAAUUCACAGACACACCGUAAUACGACUAAUUUGUAAUUUGAUAUACAUUAUUAGAGAUAAUUAGUAGAGCAAAAUGUGUAUCUUACGAACGAGUACUGUUACGAAACGUCUGAUUAUGAAGUGAAUUUCAUGAAGUUUAUCGAACCUAAAUGGAAGAAUAUUAUAUACAUUCUAUCGUGAUAAGGAUUAUAUGAUUAAAAUUUAGAUAAGUUAUAUUCUUAAUUAAGAUAUAGGUCUAAACUAUACUCUCUCCGUUUAAUUUUAUUUGUCGUUCUAGGUUUAUAUACACAGAUUAAUAAAACAUAUAAUUUUGUAUAUUUUCAAAAUAAAAACAUUAUUAUCUAUACACCUAACCAUAUUUCAACCAAUAAAAAAAUAAACAGGAAAAAUCUUGUUAAAAAUUUUGCAUUGAAAUUCUAAGACGACACUUUUGUUUUGCAACGAAAAUUUUACUCCACAACGAAAAUUAAAUUGAAGUAAAGGGAGUUAUAUUCUAUUUUCCAAUUCUAGAUGUUAAUAGAGCAUUCGAUCAAAAGUAAAGUUUCUGCAUCAUAUUUUAAUAUUUUGAUAUUGAUUAUCGGAUGGUGUUGAAGAUGAUGAAAAAUGUGGUGACGAUGAUGAAGACGAGGACCUCUCAUUAUUGAAUGAGACUUCUCGUGAAAAAAAUGAAGGGAGAAUUUCAUAUUUACUACUUUUAUGGUACCAUUAUUCGUUUUUACUAUCGCUAAAAGGACAUUUUCAAAAUAUAUUGUUCAUUAAGUGGUAGAAUAUUUUUAUAUCAUUUUUCUCUAUAUAUAUAAUAAAUAAUUAUUUAAAUAAAAAAUAAUAAAAAAAUUUAUGUUUCCGAAUUAUACUUUUUCAAAUUCGAACUCUUUUAUAAAUUUUUAUUUUUAUUUUUUCGAAAAAAUUUCUUUUCAAAAUAUCUUUUUGAAAAGCGAAAAUUAUGUUUGAAACUAUUUUUUAAAAAAUUAAUAUUUUUAAGUUUUUAUUUGUAUAUUUAUUAGAUUCUUUAAUUUCACAUUCUAAAAACUCUACCUACUUCAAUUUUAAAUCUUAAGUCUAGAUUAGUUAAUCAUAGAGAUAAAGAUGUCUUUUAUCAUUCAUUAAAAGUGAAGAUAAAAGUUGCUAGUUUAAACAUAAAAAUGAUAUUAUAAAUAUGGUAUUCGUGGCAAUUUUCCAAACGUGAAAUUGUUACCUUCACGUUGUGGAGGUUUUAAUUAGGCUAGUGGGUUUUUUCUGUUUUGAUUUGCCUACUCCACGCUUUUUUUUUAAUAAAUACUAGGUUAAAGUUUUUGGUUUGAAACUUUCUUUAUGGUUUAGUUUUGGUGAGUGCAAAGAUUAUUAAGAGUUUUAGUGGGGUUAAAGGUUUGUGGUUUUCACAUGGGUUAAGUUUUGUCCGAGAUAUUUCUAUAGUUUAAAUUUUUAUGGUGUUUUGUUUUACCAUAGUUAGAAUAUUUUAAGUUAUAGUUUUUAACUAUUAUGAGAGAGUUCUAGCAGUAGACCGCUCAAGUUUUUAAUGAUUUAGUAUUUCAGAUUCAAGAGUUUCACUUGAAGGUUGACUUUGAGUUUGACUAGUGAGAAUUAUCUUGAUGCAGAUCUCGAAUGACAUCCAGAUAAAAAAAAAAUGCAGAUCAAACUCAAAAUGCAAGCAGAACAAAUGAAGAUUAAACAGAUCAGCAGAACAAAUGCAGAUCUAAUUGGUUUAAUUUAUUUAUCGAAUUAGCAUAUUUGACCAAAUGUUAAAAAAAAUAAUUUUGUAAGAUAAAUAUCUAAAAAAAGUACAAAUUCUUACCAAUUAUUUUUAUUAUUUUAAUAAAUACAAGGAAAAAUUAAACAUUAUAUAAAAAGUAAAUACAAUUACAAUAUACAAUUGAAUUAAAAAGAUUAUUUUUUUCCAUAAUGUAUUUGCAAUAAUUUCUCUAUUGCUUAACAUAAGAUUUCCUUGUCCGAUUUCCAGCUUUUCCAAACCAUUUUUUUCAGCCAUAGAACUGGCAUUGCCAAUCUCUGCAUGGUUUGGGUCGUACUAGGUUAUUAUGGUUUGGAUUAUUAGGAUUCACUUAGGAAAACCAACUUUUUUUUUGGAUUGGAUCGAUUCGAAUGUUGUCGGGUUUGGGUCAUAUUUCUAUUUUAUAAAACCCAAAACAUAACCAAGUUAACAAUUUUUUCGGUUCGAUUUAGGUUUAAAGUUCGAAACCAAAAAACCAAAAAAACUCUGAAAAUCGCCGCUAAACUCGAAAAAACCCAAGAAAAUAUUCCGAUAAUCCAGGUUUUUUAUAAGUUUCAAUUUAAAAAUUAUAUAUUUAUAUAUAAGUAUUUUAAAAUUAAAAAUUAGUUGUGAUGUGCAAACUGAAUAUUUAUUGUAAUAUUCAGGAACAUUUGAAUAGAAUAUACUGUAUAAAUAAAUAAUACUAGACCCUGACAUGCGCGCCAGCGCGGAUAUGAAUUUUCAGUUUUUAAUUAUUUAUUUUAUUAAAUUAUGUAUUUGUAAUAUUCGUUCAUAUUAUAUUCAUUAAGUAAAUAUUUAUUUUUCUGCAUCUUAAACUAUCUAUUUUUUUUACGAAUGUAUGAUAUCAUAUAAAAAAAAUGAGUAUAGAGUUAAAUAGAUAAUUUUGAAAACAGAAAUUUUUCUUUCGUGUGCGAUAUCAUGUAAAUAGUGAUCCGUCCAGUUAACAAAAACCAUGAUUUUUUUAUGUGUAAUUUUUUUUGUUUUGACCAUUUAUAACAAAAUAUUUAAAAAAUAUUUUUAGAAUUUGUUUGAAAAAUAUGAAAAUUACAUUUUAAAUUAAAAUUAGCCUAAAAUAUGAUAAGUUUUGAUGUAAACGAAAACUUAAAUUAUGUCAAAAAUAAUGAUAUUCAAUGAUAAUAACAAUUUUAAUUGAUUAUUUUUAAAAAAAUACAUUUACAAAAAUAUUGUUUGAAAGAAAAUUCAUUUAUCUUUCAAAUAUAAAAUGAAAAUAUUAUAAUUAAAUAAUAAAAAAUAUAAAUAAAAACCAUAAAUUUAGCAAAUGACAACUGAGUUAUAUUAUGCUAAAAUUUUCUUUCUAACAAUUUAUCAAAUGACAAAUGAGUUAUCAGCAAAUAAUACCAUAUAAUUUUAAAAAACAUAGUCAUUCUUAAAUAUUUUUUGAAUAAAUAAUUAUUUUUAAAUUUAAUCAACUGAAAAUAAUAUCCGUACAAUUGUGUGAGUCAAAUUCUAGUUUUAUUGAUGCAUGUUAUAUAUUAGUGCUGCAUGUUUUAGGUAACAUUUUAAUGAUGCACGUUUUUAAAAAUCUCCAUUAUUAAAAUUAUGCACGUAAGGAUAACUCAUGAGUUUUUUUGGUUGAUUAAAUGACAUUAUGUCCAAAUUUAUUUAAGGAUAUUUCAUUAAGGUAACUGAAAAAGACAAACAAUAAAAUAGGAAGUUUAAAUUCAUUUAAGCAUAUUUCAUUAAUGUAACUGAAAAGACAAGUAAUAAAUUAGACAGUUUUAUUCGUUUUAGGAUAUUUCAUAAAUGCAACUGAAAAAGACAAGAAAACAAAAGGAGUUUAAUUAAUGAAGUAAGAACAUUUUCAAAUGUGUACUUCUCUUUUAAUAAUAUAGAUAGAUUUCAUUAAUGUAACUGAAAAGACAAGUAAUAAAUUAGACAGUUUUAUUCGUUUUAGGAUAUUUUAUAAAUACAACUGAAAAAGACAAGAAAAAAAAAGAGUUUAAUUAAAGAAGUAAGAACAUUUUCAAAUGUGUACUUCUCUUUUAAUAAUAUAGAAGUGUUUCAUAUUAAUUUUAGGGAAAUUAGUUAGAAUAACUUACAUUUUAUGAGAAAUUACUAGAGUAACACACACAAAAAAAGAAAAAUGUGAUAUGUUACAAAAGUUCGGAAAUACCCCAUCGUCUCAUUAAACACAUGUCUAAUAAAAAAAAACCCUUAGCCAAAAAAGAAUUACUUCACGAUUUCCCCCUUUCUCAUUAGACAUGAACCCUAAAUCCCAAACUGUCAAUUCUUCAUCAAUCAAGGCUCACUUAUUUGUCAAUUGAUUUCUCCUUGAUUCCGACUUCGUAGCACCGUUUUCUAUCACUAAAAACUUCGGAUUCACAAAGGGAAAGUGAUUUAGAGAGUCAAAUCCGACGAUCCAAAACUACGUUUUCAAAUCCGCUUUCUACUCUUAUUCUCGUUGAUUUCUUCAGUAGUACAAACUCGUAUCCGCCUCAAUCUGUUUUGUUGACACAUAAAUCGUGCCAUCAAGGGUAAGUCAGCCAAAAUUUAGAUUUUGGUGGUUCUGAGUAUCAUUGAUUUGGAUUUUACCUUGAUCCAGAGCUGGUAGUUGGGUUCUUAAUUGAUAGUAAUACGGGUUUCAUUGCAUCUCUGUUUCAUAUGUUCUUAAUUGAUAGUUGGUAAUUAGAUUUUAACAUAUGUUUUCCUAACUACAUUGUACACCUUUUAUAGAGGGAUGACUAAAUCAAACAGUGCAAAAACAUAUCCAGCAAGGUUGUAUGAAGAGGGGAAACGUCCAUUGCAACAUCGAAGCAUGAAUCACAACUGUCACUUGGCUGGUUUGCAGAUGGUCGAGGAAGCAGUUGGCUUUGAUGCGUGGGAAUCCAUUAAAACAUCAUCUGUUGGAGUUAUUGUGAAGUUGAAAGAGCUGGAUUAUGCCUGGUCAGCCAAGGCAGUUCACCAUUUAUUGACAAACCAAUUGGUGGUUAAUAAUAUCCAUGAGAUAUGGUCUGCUAUAGAAGGUCAACCAAUUAGGUUAUCGCUAUAUGAGUUUGGUCAAAUUACAGGUUUAAAUUGUAUCCAUACAUAGGGAACUCAACUGUGAAGAGGAUUAUAACUGGGGUCUCUAAAGCCCACUAUGAUCCCUUAGCUAAAGUUGAUGAGACAAAAUUUAAGAAGCUACUGGAUUAUCUGCAAAGUAUUGUGUAAGUGUAAAGAUUAACAUGUCUUAUUUAUUCCUAAUAAAUCAUUACUGUUAAACUAACUUGAGCUUGUUUUUAUUCAUUUAGUGAUGAUAACGAUGUAGACACUCACUUCUAUAUGAAGCUAAUAACGCCAAGAAAUGAUUGGGAAACAGAUGAAUUUGGGUGGCUAGCAGAUUCUGUAAGUUUCUUAUUUUUUGUUGUAUCAUCAUGAAUCCAGGUGGCUAACAGAAACUCAUUUUUUUGUUGACAGCAUAUGACAUCUGCAAUGCUUAUGUUUCAUAAAAGAUCUAUGAGGGACCCUUCACCAUACUCUUCAUCAAGGAUAGCUUUUCUUGAGCACUGGUUUGUCAAGAUGUGGGUCAGAGACUACAAGAAAUACGAUCCUAAGACGUGGAAGUUCUCAGACACUUACAAGAAGGUCUUCAAUGGCAAUUACCCUACAGAGUUUUUCAACAACAGAAAGUGGCUGAAGGAUGUGGAUCGAUUGUUUCUUUGCCACUUGAUAAAUGGUGACCAUUGGGUAGCUUUAGAAGUGGAUCUUCUGAAGAAAAUAAUCCAUGUUUACGACAACAUACAGACAGUUGUCCCAAGCCUCAUGGAUCUACAAGAAGAGUGUCGUCCUUUAACGAAGAGGAUUCCUUUAUUGCUGAAUGAAAUGCUUCCAGAUAGGAAGAAGAGUUCACAGCGGUUCAAAAUUUCAAGACUUAAAAGUGUGCCCAAGAAUGAAAACCCUGGUGAUUGUGGUGUUUACACUCUGAAGUAUAUAGAGUGUAAGGCGAUUAGCUGUGGUUUUGAAGGACUUUCUGAUCAGUGCAUUCCGGCAAUGUGUAUUAAGUUAGCUUAUGAGAUCUAUGAUGAGAUUUCGGAUCUGUAGUAUUUUCAUGUUUUAGAAAGAAAACUUAUUGACUGGUAUGUAGUAUUUUCAUGUUCCGGAAUCAUUAUCUACUUGAUGACUAGAAGUUGUGUAACUUGAUUAUGAAUCUUAAGUAGAACUUGUAUGGAUGGCAUAGUGAAAUCCUUGUUGCUUGUUUCACGACUUGUCUAUUACUUUGAGUUUAGUUGUUUAAUGUUAUUAGACCUGUCUAUUACUUGGACUUGUCUAUUACUUUGAAUCUAUUACUUUGAGUCUAACCAGAAACAAGAAAAAAGUGCGAAGAGUUGUCUCAGCAGAAACAAGAGUAAAUAGUCUCUAACCAGAAAAAUAAAAAAAGUGAGUAGAAUUGUCAGCAAAAACAAGAAACAAGUGCAAACACAAACAAAAAACAAGUUAGUCAAAUUGACUAACCAACAGGACAUGUUUUACAAUUGUGACCAACCUGAUAACAAAUUGAACAUUUAUGCUCUUUUCUUGGGCGUUUAGUAGUUUCAACUUUCCCAAACCAAGAUUUCAUUCUUGAUUUUUUGGGUCUCCCUGGUUGUUGUCGAACCUCAGGUGGCAAACAAAUUUUGCCUUCGACAUUAUCAGGUACCCGCGUCUCAGAAUCUCUCGGCAUUACUGUUGUGGAGUAAGCGUUGUACAAAUAGUUUGAACGGUAGUAUAGAUGACACAGUGAAAUCCUUGAUAACUUUCUCGCCUCAGCUGCUGCAAUUGCAUGAACGCAAGGUAAUUUUUCCAAGUCAAAUCUGCGGCAUGAACAUCUCCGCUGAGUCAAAUUCACUAUGUUUGUAGAUGAGACACUUGACACCUGAUAUUGGUGAAUAUCUAUCUGUUGUACGUUUAAAAUUUUAGCGAAUGGUACACGACCCUACACAAGUAUGUUGCAAUGUUAGUUUUGUGUGUAGUAAAAAUAGUUUGUUUUAGAAACUCAUGUUUACCUCUAAAAGCUUCUCUACUCCACGAGUUGAAGUUGUUUUCAUCAAAUUUGCAUCAUUCUUCCGAGUCGAAAACCAGUGUGUCAUCAUUUGCCUUAUUGCUUCUAAAAGUCUUACAACGGGCAAACUCCUUGCAUCUGAAAGCACUCUAUUUAUAAAUUCAGCUAUAUUAGUUGUAGUCAAAUUGUACCUAUCACCAGGAAAAUGAGCACGUGCCCACUUCCUUACAUCUGCUUUGUGCAAGUAGCCAUGCAAUGUCGGAUGCAUAGAUUUGAUCUCCUCAAAUAUGGUCUCAAAAUCUGACAAUCUGUAUGAAUUUGCUGCCUUUUUAACCAAGCCAAACAACUCCCGACCUCUAAACUUUACCAACACAUUCAUGUAUAAGUGAUAAGUGCAAACUCCAUGGCUGGCCUUUGGAUAUACAUGGGUAAUUGCAUUUCCAAUUGAUUUGUCCCUGUCUGAAAUAAUAGCAAGUUUUUCGUCAUCUGGAAUCACACAGUUGAGUUGUCUAAAAAACCACUUCCAUGAUUCAUCGUUCUCCGUAUCGACUAUCGCAAAUGCAAUUGGAAAUAUCUGGAAAUUUCCAUCCUGUGAUGACACAAUUAGUAGAGUCCCUUUGUACUUUUCUUGCAAGAACGUGCCAUCGACAACAGAAACCUUCCUCAUGAAUGGAAACCCCUCGAUGGUAGCACCAAAUGCGAGGAAAAGAUACUUGAAUCUGUCACUAUAAUCUACCUCUAGGCGAGUGAAUGUCCCAGGAUUUGCCUCCCUUAUCAUGUGUAGAUACGCAGGUAAAUCAUGAUAUCCACUCUCAGCAGAUCCCCUAACCAACUCUCUUGCAUAUUGCAGCGUCCGAUGAGCUUUCCAGUAGUCAAUCUUUAUUCCAAAGCACAUGUUAAGCGACUGCAUCACAUGACUGGGCAAAAUUCUUGGCUCCACUCCACCAAUAAAUUCACUGUAUAAAGCUCCAAGAAUCUCUGGUGUUGCUUGUCUGCAACGAGCUGAUCUUUCUGUAACUGAACAAGUAUUUUCUGAAACAUAGCCGCAUACCGUAAAGUGAGGACUAUCACUUGUUGGUGAUGCUCUUAAUUUCCAACUACAACCUCUAACCCAACACUUUACUACUAACAGAUUUGGUGUUGAGUAGUCGACAUCGUAAUCAAAUUGUUGCACUACCGUCAGCAUCUUAAGUCUUGUUUUCAAUGCAGACUCGGACUCAAAACUUUGGCCAACGACUAUAUUUAGUGAACUCAAUUGUUGUCUGACGUGCGGAGUUACAGCCUAAGUUUUUUUCAAUGUAGUCGCUAGCCCCACCUUUGGUGUGUGCACCUUCCUCAUCUUUAUAUCUACUUCUGGAGGUACUCCGUAGGCUAUAAAGUCCUCAUCAUCUGAUGUCGCACCAUCUGAAUCAUCGCAAUAGUCAAACCGUUCUCUAUCGGUGUCUGAGUCACAGGACUAGGAUCAGAUUGAUUCACAAUUUCUCCAUGAGUGCUAUUUUUUAUCGUCUUCCUAUUGACUCUGCAACUGACCUCCACGCAUAGCCGAACAUGGUCAGACUUCAGGUGAUGGAAGAAACCUUGUAAUUGAUGGAAAUUCCCAAUUUUCAGGGAUGGUGUGUCAAGAGUUAGCUUCAACAAACACUUCCUACUGGGCAUGUAACUCAACUCGAUACAAACAUGCCACUUAUCUAACCCGUAGUCCUCAUAAACCAUGUUUAUCAUAUCUUCGAAGGCCGUGUUGUCAGUUAUUGGAAUUACUUUGCUUCCUCUUCUCUUAUCAACGUGAAACAUCCACCUUUCCUUCUCCAAUAACCACUGCCCACAAACUGCUGUAACUUCCUCACUACAAGAAAACAUAAUCUUAACGAGGGCGGUUUUCCUCGUGAGUUCGUCGUAAAAGAGGCUUUACGACGAAUUAGCGAGGAACCACGUUUGCUCGUUACUCAUCUGUCGUAACACAUAUUUCCUCGCUAAUUCGUCGUAACGUAGCGAGGAAUAUAUUUCGUCGUAAAGACGAAGUAGAUCAUUUCGUCGUAAAGACGAAGUAGAUCAUUUCGUCGUAAAGACCACGUCAACAUUCCACGUAAAGAGGUAGCUAUAUUUCCUCGUAAAUACCUCGAAACAAGUUCCUCGUAAACUACACGUAAAUACCUUGAAAGUUUUUCCUCAUAAAAUACUCGUUUAUCUUUCCUCGUUAUUUCCUCGUAAAUGUUUUCUCGUAAAAUACUCGUUUAUUAUUUUUCGUCAUUUCCUCGUAAGGUUUCCACGUAAAUAGGUCGUACCUUAGCUACGAAUUUACUUCGUUUUUAUUAUUUUACAGAAUUUAAAAAUAUAAUUAAAAAAUAACUAAAAUUAUUUAAUUUAUUAAUAAAAUUAAAAUUUAAAAUAAAAAUAAAUCAAUAUGAAAAUAUUUUAUAUAUAAAUAAGUUUUGAAUUUAUAUAAUACAACAACCAAAAAAAAAACUAAGGGUCGUUCAUCGCCCGGUAGAAUUCAUCACUCCUCCUCGUAACAUCCGCCUCGUUAUGUACGUCGGAUGACUCGCCUUGAAUGGGAUGUUGUUGUCGCAUGUUCCUCAACAUGGACUCCCAUUCCGGAUUUGUGGCCGCAAUAACGUCCAAGAAGCCCUCGACUCCACCCAUACGAGAUUUUGUCGCGGUCAACUCGUUACGCAGCUGAGCGGACUCUCUACGCAGCUCAGUGACUUCAUCAUCCCGUCGCUGACCAUAAGACGAUGUCGCUCUCGGAACAUCGUUGACGGAACCAAUACCCAACGUCCGGUCCUUUUUUUUAGGGACAACCUUAAAAACAAAAAAUAAAUAUUGUAAGUAAAAAUUUAAAGUUAAAUUAAAUGAAUAAUUAAAAAUUAAUUUUUUUGAAAAUUUACCUCCUCGUAAAUCUUAUCCACUUCAAGUGUGGAUAAGGUGACGGGUAAUCCGUCGGUAGACUGCUGGGUCAGCUGAGUCUGGCGGUCUUCAACCCGAGCAACCACGUCGUUGUAGAUUUGCUCGGACUUGCCAUCUACAAAUACGCCCGCCUUGUUCUUGUGGGUCCUCUCGUAAAGUUCCAUAAGAGACGGGAGAUGUCCCGUCUCUUUGGCCUAAAAAACAUUUAAGAAAGUUAGAAUAAAAAUAUAUAUAUUAAAAAAUUUAUUUAAUAAAAUAUUUAAUUAUCAUUUCCAAACGGACAACGGCGUAGGGUUUUUGGCCCGUAGUGUGAAGCAUCGGCCCGUUUCCGUGCUCAUCGACCGUGUUACGGGAGUUAGAGCAAACCUGGGCGAUUCUAAUGGAAUCAGGAAGGCGCCAAUAACGGAUGAGGCCAUCCCACACAUCCGUGGUGAGCUCAGCGGGUUUGCCACGCUCAUACCCCUUCACGAUCCAGUCACCCUUCCAGUUGGAGACCGUGUCCAACAAGCGAACUUUCGCCUUCGCGUUAAACUUCUUCCUCACCCUCUCAGUGAUCCCCAAGGCCCAAUUAUAUUUUUGCUGUUGGAAAAAAUAAAUUAACAAUUAGUUUUUUAGAAAGUAUAUAUAUAAAUCAUGAAACAAUUAAAAAAAAGGGCAAAUCUCCAAAAUAGCACAUUUCUAAGUUUAUAUCACAAAAAUAGCACUCAAAAACUAAAAUGACCAAAAUAUAAGUUUAUCCUUUGAAAAUUUUAAUUUUUUUAUUUUUCAAAAUUUGAAAUCUUAUCCCCAAAACCUCAUUUCUCAACUCUAAACCCUAAACCUUAAACUCUAAACCCUAAACCCUAAACCCUAAACCCUAAACCCUAAACUCUAAACCCUAAACCCUAAACUCUAAACCCUAAACACUAAACCCUAAACCCUAAACCCUAAACUCUAAACCCUAAACCCUAAACCCUAAACCCUAAACUCUAAACCUUAAACCCUAAAUCCUAAACCCCACCCUUUAACUCUAAACCCUAAGUUUUUGACUUUUGAUAAAAUAUUAAGUGCUAUUUUUGUGACUUUUGACUUUGAGUGCUAGUUUGGGAACAAAAACUUGAUUUAGUGCUAUUUUUGUCUUUUUCUCAACAAUUAAAGUAUAUAUAAUUAAUUGAUAGAACCUUACAGCGUAAAUUUUGAACCACGUCUUUCUGACGUAGUGAGGCGUCUUACUCCAGUUCGGAUGUGCCAUGGAGAAGUAACUUUUGAUCGUGUCGAUUACGUCCGAUGCAAGACAUCCGUAAACCCCCCACCUGGAAAAUACAAAUUUAAAAUAUAAAUUAUUUUUUAAUGUUAUAAAAGAAUUUUAAACGAAUUAAAAAAAAAAUUAAUGCAACAUACCACAAAGUUCCGUUCGGUCGGUCGGGGUCGAUGACUGGUAAACCUUCUCUGCCUGGCAAACGGAGAAUGUCCUCUACAGUGUACUGCGAGUAAGGAGCACUCGGAGGCACCAUCAAAUCGGGAUGAAUAUCGGCGGCCAUCGGAGGUGCCAUCGGAGGAGGCACAGGAGGAGGCAUCGUCGGAUGAGCCAUCGGGGAAGGCACAUGAGGAGCCGAUGGUGCACUAGAAGAAGUAGACCCAGAGACUCUCUGAGUGUACUGAGUCUCGGGGACAGUCUCCUGACCCGAAGAACCGGGAGCUGAAGAAGAGGCCGGGUCUAAACGACUACCCGGCUCACCGAAGAUCUCUCUGUAAUGGGCAGUAAGUCUUCCUUUUCGAACCUGGGAAAAAAAUUAAAUUUUUAAAAUUAACAUCAACAGUAUAUUUCCCAACAUUAUCCACCUAAUGAACACUAAAUAACAUAAAAUCCGUAAACCUAUCUAAAUUCCCUAUACUAACCACCUAAUCUAUCCUAAACUAACCAAAUUAGAGAGGAAUUAGAGAGACUUACCAUUGCUACGAAAUGGAGAGGAAGUGGAGAGGAAGUAGAGAGGAAAGAAAGAGUGAGCGCUCGGGGGUAUAUAUAAGAUUACAUAUCGUCGCAAAUUCCUCGUAAGGUUACGACGAAAUAGCGAGCAGUUACAAAGGCCCGUGUUUUUUUUUACGAGGAAAUAGCGAGGAAUCACAAAGGCCCGUGUUUUUUUUUACGAGGUAUUAACGACGAUUUAGCUUACGAGGAAUUAACGAGGCUUGCUUUCCUAUAAAUAUACCCACAACUCUCAUUCUCAAACCACACACAAACUCCCAAAUCACACCUUAUCUCAAAUCACAUUCCUCAGCAAAAUCCUAUUCAAAUUAUAAAUAUUUGAAAAAAAUAGGAAAAGGAGAAGAUAUUAGAAUUCAUGUGGGCGAGACUUACGUAUUAUAAUUGCUGGAAGUCUUGCCACAUGUUAAUCUGGUAUUUUUCUCCUUUUCCUUUUUUUCUAGUUUUUACACUACGAGGUAUUUACGACGAUUUCUGCUUACGUGGAAUUAACGAGUGUUAUGUUUAAAUCCUUUUACGUGGUAUUUACGACGAUUUCAUCCAACGUGGUCUUUGUGACGAUUUCCGCUUACGUGGAAUUAACGAGUGUUUUGUUUAAAUCCUUUUACGUGGUAGUUACGACGAUUUCAUCCUACGAGGCCUUUACGACGAUUUGUGCUUACGUGGAAUUAACGAGUGUUAUGUUUAAAUCCCUAGAAUCCGAAACCCGAAACCCGAAACCCAAAACCCAACCUCAAACCCCGAAACCUCCAAACCCCAAGCCCCAAACCCCAAAUCUGAAACCCCAAACCCCAAACCUCAAACCCCGAAACCUCUAAACCCGAAACCCGAAACCCCAAACCCCAUAUUCCAAACCCUAAACUCCAUAUUCCUUAUUUUCAUAUAUUUCAAACUCCAUCUUUAUUUUUAAAUUUCCUCGUUAUUUCCUCGUUGGCUUACGAAGUAUUUACGACGAUUUCUGCCUACGUGGAAUUUACGACGAUUUCUUAUACGUGGUCUUUACGACGAUUUGUGCUUACGUGGAAUUAACGAGUAUUAUGUUUAAAUCCCUAAAAUCCGAAACCUCCAAACCCCAAACCCCAAACCCCAAACCUGAAACCCCAAACCCCAAACCUCAAACCCCGAAACCUCCAAACCCCAAACCCCAAACCCCAAACCCCAAACCCCAAACCCCAAACCUCAAACCCCGAAACCUCUAAACCCGAAACCCCAAACCCCAAACCCCAUAUUCCAAACCCCAAACUCCAUAUUCCUUAUUUUCAUAUAUUCCAAACUCCAUCUUUAUUUUUAAAUUUCGUCGUUAUUUCCUCGUUGGCUUACGAGGUAUUUACGACGAUUUCUGCCUACGUGGAAUUUACGACGAUUUCUUAUACGUGGUCUUUACGACGAUUUCUGCCUACGUGGAAUUUACGACGAUUUCUUAUACGUGGUCUUUACGACGAUUUGUGCUUACGUGGAAUUAACGAGCAUGCGUUCUUUAUUUUAAUAUUUCGUCGUUAUUUCCUCGUUGGCUUACGUGGAAUUAACGAGUGUUAUGUUUAAAUCUCUAGAAUCCGAAACCCCAAACCCCAAACCCCAUAUUCCUUAUUUUCUACUUCAUAUAUUCCAAACCCCAUCUUUAUUUCUAUUCCAAACCACAAUUCCCACAUUUGUUUAUUCAUAAAACAAACUCCCACAUUACCUUAUUCAUAAAACAAACUCCCACGUUUGCUACGAAUGCAUCAGCUACCAUAUCAUGAACCCUAUCAUAAUCUAACAUCUCCUCCUGAUGGUAACUAUGUUCAUUAUGCAAAUGAUGUUCAACCGGUUCUUUUUCCUGAAAAUUGCUAUUACUACUACUAGCUUCAUUCUUAUCAUAAUUAAAACAUUCUCCAUGUUGAAACCAGAUAUAGUAAUUUGGCGUGAAACCUCUAUUUAUUAAAUGCUUCCAAACAUUUUCACGGUUUGCCAGUUUCGAAUUGUUGCAUUUCCGACAAGGACAGAACAUCUUACCACUUUCUUGGGCGAGCGGUGUUGAAUCUGCUUGAUGCAUAAAUGUCUCCAGACCCGCAAGGUAUUCUUUCGUCACUCUCCCGUUAGCAUCUCUAUGCAUAUACAUCCACUUCCGCAACUCGUAAAUAGUCCCGGAGCCAGCCAUUUUUUUUCUUUCACGUUUUUUGUUGUUGGUGUGUUUAAAAUGAUGUUCAAACAUCCAUAUUUAUAGGAAAUUUCGAAUCUGGUAGUUGUAAUUUUCCUAUGAAUUUAUGACGAAAAUUAAUUAGGUGGCAAAAAAAAAACGUGUAACACUUACAAAGUUGGUGGAUUCAAAAUUUCCUCGCUAAAUACACGUAAACUAUUUCCUCGUAAAUAACACGCAAAGUUUACAUCGUAUUGACGAGGAAAUAGUUUUUCCUUGUAAAAUACUCGUUAAAUUACAUCCACUUUACGGCGAAACACUUUUGUCGUUACGUUACGAGGAAAUAACGAUGACUUUAGUUUUCCACGUAAGUUCCUCGUAAAAUCGGCGUAAAUUUACGAGGAUUGUUUUUCCUCGUUAAAUUUCCUCGCUAAGUAUGUGUUUUCUUGUAGUGCCUCCAUAAAUUUUCCUUGGGAUUAACUUGAGCGUAAUCCACUUGUCAAAAACAGAAAUCGUGACUUGUGGGAGAAGAAGAUGUUACGGCUAAACCUAGGUUAGUUAUCGAUUUUUGGUUCAUUAGUUAACCCUUUUUUGAAUUAGAUAAGUUAACCGGAAUUUUUAAUUAAAAUUUAUUCAUUUACUAAAACGGAAUCUGCCAAAUUAAAAGGUAUACACAGUACAUAAAAGCUUGCUAUCAAAUAGAGUUAGUUUUGUAAUUAAUUUAUAAGUCUGCUACCUCGAAAAUGAAAUAAUAUGCUAAACUACAAAAAAGUUUACGAGAAAAAUUUGGUUUACUUUGUAAAAGUCGACGACAUAUUAAAAACCUGCUAUCAUACGAAAAAAACUGCCAUAAAAAGGCUGUUACCUUAAAGAAACCUGCCAACAUAAAUAAAUCUAUCGUAGUGUAUAGUAGACUUAUUUUUGAAAGUUUUUACGAUAUUAAGUCUGUUUUGAUAAGUCUAUGAUACGUUAUAAAUAUGCGAUAGUCUAGAAAAAAUGCCAUCACAUGUCGCAGAUUUCAAUCGGCAGACUUAUUUAUCCGUCAUGGCAAUUUCGUAAAUAAUUUUUUUUGGUGACGUGGCAAAAAAUAAUAAUGACAUUGUUGGUAACUAUGUUUUUUUGUUAACUAAAGAAAGAAUAGCAUUAUGGGUAUAAAAAACAGUUCUGUAAUUAAAAAAAGUUAUAAGCUAAUCUAGUAAUAAAAACAAUAUUUAGUGUUAUUUGAGUAAUCUUUCCAAUAAAAUAAUCGGUAUUGAUAUUCAUUAAAUUUUUAAGACCAUUAAGUUGAUACUUGAUACUCAAUCCCUUUUCGUGGAUAGGAUUUUGCUAUUUCCCUAUCUAGCAUUGUGUGGGGCAGGCAAUGCUUUCUAGGCUUCUUUUUUUGGUAAAAUAAGUUUUAAUUUCUAGGCUUACGGCUGUUAAAGUAUAAUAAUUGAAGGCUUGAAGCUAACUCCGAUUUUGAAUUGCAUUAUAACUAAACCAGGUUUUGUUUAUUUGAAAAAGUCACGGCCAUCAAAUUGUGUGUGUGUGUGCGCGCAUAUAUGUAAUGCAUCUAUUCGCCAUCAUUAUGUGCAUGUGGUGUUAGUAUAUAUUUUCUUCAGUUCGAUGACAUCUUUGAAGAAGAAAAUGACACGAAUCUAAGUCUAUGAAUGGGAUUGCAGAUCAAACACAAA